AUUUAUGGUAAUACCACCUUGGACAUGCCUAGUCUCAUCCAGCCUCAGAAAAAAAUCAGGAUUUGCUAUGGUUAGUACUUGGUGGGAAGGAAAAAAAUCUUUUUGUCAUACAGU
rnacentral:rRNA from 1 species